CCCCACCACCACCACCACCACCCAGGAUGGAGUUCCUGGUUCUCUUCCUGUUCUACCUGGCUGUGGUGCUGACCAGCGUUGUCCUGCUCUGUGUCUGUUCGAAAACCCCCCGCCUGCAAGGCCUGGUCAGAAGAGGAGCACAGGCGUGGAAGCAGAACCUACAUCUGUGGUCACCGCAGCGGCGUGGGGUGUGGCGGAGAGGAGGCUGAGCCUGUCUUGCGGGUGGUGUGACUCGAGAGGAGGCUGAGCCUGUCCCUUGCGGGUGGUGUGGCGGAGAGGAAGCUGAGCCUGUCCCUUGUGUUCUCCUGUGUGAUCCCAGAAUGCCUCCAGAGAGCCGUGCAGCGACUCCUUCGUUACCUCUUCCAUACGCGGUAUCUGUUGC